rnacentral:rRNA from 1 species
ACCGGCGAUUUCCGAAUGGGGAAACCCAGUGUGUUUCGACACACUAUCAUUAACUGAAUCCAUAGGUUAAUGAGGCGAACCGGGGGAACUGAAACAUCUAAGUACCCCGAGGAAAAGAAAUCAACCGAGAUUCCCCCAGUAGCGGCGAGCGAACGGGGAGGAGCCCAGAGCCUGAAUCAGUGUGUGUGUUAGUGGAAGCGUCUGGAAAGGCGUGCGAUACAGGGUGACAGCCCCGUACACAAAAAUGCACAUACUGUGAGCUCGAUGAGUAGGGCGGGACACGUGGUAUCCUGUCUGAAUAUGGGGGGACCAUCCUCCAAGGCUAAAUACUCCUGACUGACCGAUAGUGAACCAGUACCGUGAGGGAAAGGCGAAAAGAACCCCGGCGAGGGGAGUGAAAAAGAACCUGAAACCGUGUACGUACAAGCAGUGGGAGCCUCUUUAUGGGGUGACUGCGUACCUUUUGUAUAAUGGGUCAGCGACUUAUAUUCUGUAGCAAGGUUAACCGAAUAGGGGAGCCGAAGGGAAACCGAGUCUUAACUGGGCGUUAAGUUGCAGGGUAUAGACCCGAAACCCGGUGAUCUAGCCAUGGGCAGGUUGAAGGUUGGGUAACACUAACUGGAGGACCGAACCGACUAAUGUUGAAAAAUUAGCGGAUGACUUGUGGCUGGGGGUGAAAGGCCAAUCAAACCGGGAGAUAGCUGGUUCUCCCCGAAAGCU